rnacentral:rRNA from 1 species
UACGUAGGUGGCAAGCGUUGUCCGGAAUUAUUGGGCGUAAAGAGCGUGUAGGCGGCUUCACAGGUCCGCUGUGAAAACUCGAGGCUCAACCUCGAGCUGUCGGUGGAAACCGUGUGGCUAGAGUCCGGAAGAGGAGAGUGGAAUUCCCGGUGUAGCGGUGAAAUGCGCAGAUAUCGGGAAGAACACCCGUGGCGAAGGCGGCUCUCUGGGACGGUACUGACGCUGAGACGCGAAAGCGUGGGGAGCGAACAGG